rnacentral:rRNA from 1 species
GAUGAACGCUGGCGGCGUGCCUAAUACAUGCAAGUCGAGCGAACGGACGAGAAGCUUGCUUCUCUGAUGUUAGCGGCGGACGGGUGAGUAACACGUGGAUAACCUACCUAUAAGACUGGGAUAACUUCGGGAAACCGGAGCUAAUACCGGAUGAUAUUUUGAACCGCAUGGUUCAACAGUGAAAGACGGUCUUGCUGUCACUUAUAGAUGGAUCCGCGCUGCAUUAGCUAGUUGGUAAGGUAACGGCUUACCAAGGCAACGAUGCAUAGCCGACCUGAGAGGGUGAUCGGCCACACUGGAACUGAGACACGGUCCAGACUCCUACGGGAGGCAGAAGUAGGGAAUCUUCCGCAAUGGGCGAAAGCCUGACGGAGCAACGCCGCGUGAGUGAUGAAGGUCUUCGGAUCGUAAAACUCUGUUAUUAGGGAAGAACAUAUGUGUAAGUAACUGUGCACAUCUUGACGGUACCUAAUCAGAAAGCCACGGCUAACUACGUG